rnacentral:lncRNA from 1 species
AAAUAAUACCAUCAUGCUUCUGUAUUGCGUACUACAGGGUUCGGUCGCUGAACUACACUUUUUACCACACCCUACACGUCAACAUACCUUUGAUAUAGUAUCGCACAAAAUUACUCUUUUCAGUCUGUUACAUUUGAACUAAGAAGACAAAUCACACAGAGCUUUGCAAUACCGUUUGGUCUAUAUGGUUAUGACUUUAAACAGCCGAAGGAGGUGGUGUUUCAUUUCAAAAUAUGAGGCCAGAUGGACCGUAUUCCUCACCAUAUUAUAUGUAUGGUGCAUUGUUUGUGGAGGUACAACCUCCAUAACACCAACAACACCAAUUUCAACAGCCAGUGAAGUUUGUAUAAUAAGAACUAAAGCAUCUCUUACCACAGCUAUGACCCUCAAACAAAAUACAUGCAUAGCUGCGACUUUCACAACUACAUCUCCAACAACUACUGAUUCAAUAUCAAUUGCAUCUACAACUGAGGCUCCUACAGAAAAUGUAUCUUCAGCAACAGCUACAGGUCAAACAGCAAUGUCAUUUUCAAUGACAACAGAAACUGGAGCUUUCACAACCACAGAUGUGAUCCCCACAACCACUCUCAUAUUCUCACCAAGUACAAAUGCACCAUCAACAGCAACAAAUGCUGCUUUAACAACAACAGCACCAUCAACAGAAACUGAAGCUUCCACAACCAUAGAUGUCAUUCCCACAACCACACAUAUAUCCUCACCAAGUACAACAAUAGCACCAUCAUCAGAAACCAACGCUUCCACAACCAUAGAGGUGACCCCCACAACCACACUUAUAUCCUCACCAAGUACAACUACACUUUCAACAGCAACAAAUGCUGCUUCAUUAACAACAGCACCAUCAACAGAAACGGAAGCUUCCACAACCAUAGAGGUGACCCCCACAACCACACUUAUAUCCUCACCAAGUACCUCAUAUCCUCACCAAUGGCAACAACAACAGCACCAUCAACAGAAACUGAAGCUUCCACAACCAUAGAGGUGACCCCCACAACCACUCUCAUAUCCUCACCAAGUACAACAACAACAGCAACAUCAACAGAAACUGAAGGCUUCCACAACCAUAGAUGUGAUCCCCCAUAACCACACUUAUAUCCUCACCAAGUACCAACUGCACCAUCAACAGCAACAAAGGCUGCUUCAACAACAGCAGCACCAUCAACAGAAACGGAAGCUUCCACAACCGUAGAUGUGAUCCCCACAAUCACUCUCAUAUCCUCACAAAGUACAACUGCACCAUCACCAGCAACAAAUGCUG